CCAAGGCUAAAUACUCCCUAGUGAUCGAUAGUGAACCAGUACCGUGAGGGAAAGGUGAAAAGCACCCCGGAAGGGGAGUGAAAGAGAUCCUGAAACCGUGUGCCUACAAAUAGUCAGAGCCCGUUAACGGGUGAUGGCGUGCCUUUUGUAGAAUGAACCGGCGAGUUACGAUCCCGUGCGAGGUUAAGCUGAAGAGGCGGAGCCGCAGCGAAAGCGAGUCUGAAUAGGGCGUUUAGUACGUGGUCGUAGACCCGAAACCAGGUGAUCUACCCAUGUCCAGGGUGAAGUUCAGGUAACACUGAAUGGAGGCCCGAACCCACGCACGUUGAAAAGUGCGGGGAUGAGGUGUGGGUAGCGGAGAAAUUCCAAUCGAACCUGGAGAUAGCUGGUUCUCCCCGAAAUAGCUUUAGGGCUAGCCUUAAGUGUAAGAGUCUUGGAGGUAGAGCACUGAUUGGACUAGGGGUCCUCAUCGGAUUACCGAAUUCAGUCAAACUCCGAAUGCCAAUGACUUAUCCUUAGGAGUCAGACUGCGAGUGAUAAGAUCCGUAGUCAAAAGGGAAACAGCCCAGACCGCCAGCUAAGGUCCCAAAGUGUGUAUUAAGUGGAAAAGGAUGUGGAGUUGCUUAGACAACUAGGAUGUUGGCUUAGAAGCAGCCACCAUUUAAAGAGUGCGUAAUAGCUCACUAGUCGAGUGACUCUGCGCCGAAAAUGUACCGGGGCUAAAUACACCACCGAAGCUGCGGAUUGAUACCAAUGGUAUCAGUGGUAGGGGAGCGUUCUAAGGACAGUGAAGUCAGACCGGAAGGACUGGUGGAGUGCUUAGAAGUGAGAAUGCCGGUAUGAGUAGCGAAAGACGGGUGAGAAUCCCGUCCACCGAAUGCCUAAGGUUUCCUGAGGAAGGCUCGUCCGCUCAGGGUUAGUCAGGACCUAAGCCGAGGCCGACAGGCGUAGGCGAUGGACAACAGGUUGAUAUUCCUGUACCACCUCUUUAUCGUUUGAGCAAUGGAGGGACGCAGAAGGAUAGAAGAAGCGUGCGAUUGGUUGUGCACGUCCAAGCAGUUAGGCUGAUAAGUAGGCAAAUCCGCUUAUCGUGAAGGCUGAGCUGUGAUGGGGAAGCUCCUUAUGGAGCGAAGUCUUUGAUUCCCCGCUGCCAAGAAAAGCUUCUAGCGAGAUAAAAGGUGCCUGUACCGCAAACCGACACAGGUAGGCGAGGAGAGAAUCCUAAGGUGUGCGAGAGAACUCUGGUUAAGGAACUCGGCAAAAUGACCCCGUAACUUCGGGAGAAGGGGUGCUUUCUUAACGGAAAGCCGCAGUGAAUAGGCCCAAGCGACUGUUUAGCAAAAACACAGCUCUCUGCGAAGCCGUAAGGCGAAGUAUAGGGGGUGACACCUGCCCGGUGCUGGAAGGUUAAGGAGAGGGGUUAGCGUAAGCGAAGCUCUGAACUGAAGCCCCAGUAAACGGCGGCCGUAACUAUAACGGUCCUAAGGUAGCGAAAUUCCUUGUCGGGUAAGUUCCGACCCGCACGAAAGGUGUAACGAUUUGGGCACUGUCUCAACCAGAGACUCGGUGAAAUUAUAGUACCUGUGAAGAUGCAGGUUACCCGCGACAGGACGGAAAGACCCCGUGGAGCUUUACUGUAGCCUGAUAUUGAAUUUUGGUACAGUUUGUACAGGAUAGGCGGGAGCCUUUGAAACCGGAGCGCUAGCUUCGGUGGAGGCGCUGGUGGGAUACCGCCCUGACUGUAUUGAAAUUCUAACCUACGGGUCUUAUCGACCCGGGAGACAGUGUCAGGUGGGCAGUUUGACUGGGGCGGUCGCCUCCUAAAGUGUAACGGAGGCGCCCAAAGGUUCCCUCAGAAUGGUUGGAAAUCAUUCGUAGAGUGCAAAGGCAUAAGGGAGCUUGACUGCGAGACCUACAAGUCGAGCAGGGACGAAAGUCGGGCUUAGUGAUCCGGUGGUU
rnacentral:rRNA from 1 species